rnacentral:rRNA from 1 species
CACGCUGUAAACGGUGGAUACUAGGUGUUGGUGGCUAUCGUCAUCAGUGCCGUAGCUAACGCGUUAAGUAUCCCGCCUGGGGACUACGGCCGCAAGGCUAAAACUCAAAGGAAUUGACGGGGGCCCGCACAAGCAGCGGAGCGUGUGGUUUAAUUCGAGGCAACACGAAGAACCUUACCUGGGCUUGACAUGUACGUGGUAGUGAAGCGAAAGCGGAUCGACCCUUCGGGGAGCGUUCACAGGUGC